rfam:Salmo salar isolate Sally breed double haploid chromosome ssa09, whole genome shotgun sequence.
AAUGCACCAAUUUGUCAGUCGCUCUGGAUAAGAGCGUCUGCUAAAUGACUUAAA